AUUGAUUUCAUUCCUACUGCCGAUUUUAAGUUCGUAUUUGAGGGCGUUACUGGUGCGAAUUACAACAGUGACAUCGCUCUCGAUGACAUCUAUAUUACAACAGGAGCAUGCGGAGAUUCCACAACGAGCUUGAUCCCAACUGAAGCACCUAGUACUGAAGAAAUGCCAACAACCACAGAAGUUUACAACCCUACAACUGACCAAGCUAAUCCAG